UCCGUAGGCGGGCAAUUAAGUCAGAGGUGAAAUCCCACAGCUCAACUGUGGAACUGCCUUUGAUACUGGUUGUCUUGAGUUACAGUGAAGUAGAUAGAAUAUGUAGUGUAGCGGUGAAAUGCAUAGAUAUUACAUAGAAUACCGAUUGCGAAGGCAGUCUACUAACUGUAUACUGACGCUAAUGGACGAAAGCGUGGGGAGCGGACAGGAUUAGAUACCCUGGUAGUCC
rnacentral:rRNA from 1 species